rnacentral:rRNA from 1 species
GACGAAAGUCUGACGGAGCAACGCCGCGUGAGUGAUGAAGGUUUUCGGAUCGUAAAGCUCUGUUGUUAGGGAAGAACAAGUACCGUUCGAAUAGGGCGGUACCUUGACGGUACCUAACCAGAAAGCCACGGCUAACUACGUGCCAGCAGCCGCGGUAAUACGUAGGUGGCAAGCGUUGUCCGGAAUUAUUGGGCGUAAAGGGCUCGCAGGCGGUUUCUUAAGUCUGAUGUGAAAGCCCCCGGCUCAACCGGGGAGGGUCAUUGGAAACUGGGGAACUUGAGUGCAUAAGAGGAGAGUGGAAUUCCACGUGUAGCGGUGAAAUGCGUAAAGAUGUGGAGGAACACCAGUGGCGAA